rnacentral:rRNA from 1 species
GAUGAACGCUAGCUACAGGCUUAACACAUGCAAGUCGAGGGGAAACGACAUCGAAAGCUUGCUUUUGAUGGGCGUCGACCGGCGCACGGGUGAGUAACGCGUAUCCAACCUGCCCACCACUUGGGGAUAACCUUGCGAAAGUAAGACUAAUACCCAAUGAUAUCUCUAGAAGACAUCUGAAAGAGAUUAAAGAUUUAUCGGUGAUGGAUGGGGAUGCGUCUGAUUAGCUUGUUGGCGGGGUAACGGCCCACCAAGGCAACGAUCAGUAGGGGUUCUGAGAGGAAGGUCCCCCACAUUGGAACUGAGACACGGUCCAAACUCCUACGGGAGGCAGCAGUGAGGAAUAUUGGUCAAUGGACGAGAGUCUGAACCGGCCAAGUAGCGUGCAGGAAGACGGCCCUAUGGGUGGUAAACUGCUUUUAUAAGGGAAUAAAGUGAGUCUCGUGAGACUUUUUGCAUGUACCUUAUGAAUAAGGACCGGCUAAUUCCGUG